GAUGAACGCUAGCGGCAGGCCUAACACAUGCAAGUCGAGGGGUAGAACACUUCGGUGUUUGAGACCGGCGCACGGGUGCGUAACGCGUAUGCAAUCUACCUUGUACAGGGGAAUAGCCCAGAGAAAUUUGGAUUAAUGCCCCAUAGUAUAUAACCUUCGCAUGUUGGUUAUAUUAAAGUUCCAACGGUACAAGAUGAGCAUGCGUCCCAUUAGUUAGUUGGUAAGGUAACGGCUUACCAAGACGAUGAUGGGUAGGGGUCCUGAGAGGGAGAUCCCCCACACUGGUACUGAGACACGGACCAGACUCCUACGGGAGGCAGCAGUGGGGAAUAUUGGUCAAUGGGCGCAAGCCUGAACCAGCCAUGCCGCGUGCAGGAAGACGGUCCUAUGAAUUGUAAACUGCUUUUAUACAGGAAGAAACCCUCCCACGUGUGGGAGAUUGACGGUACUGUAGGAAUAAGGAUCGGCUAACUCCGUGCCAGCCGCCGCAGUAACAC
rnacentral:rRNA from 1 species